rnacentral:rRNA from 1 species
GUAGGUGGCAAGCGUUGUCCGGAAUUAUUGGGCGUAAAGUGCGCGCAGGCGGUCCUUUAAGUCUGAUGUGAAAGCCCACGGCUCAACCGUGGAGGGUCAUUGGAAACUGGGGGACUUGAGUACAGAAGAGGAAAGCGGAAUUCCAAGUGUAGCGGUGAAAUGCGUAGAGAUUUGGAGGAACACCAGUGGCGAAGGCGGCUUUCUGGUCUGUAACUGACGCUGAGGCGCGAAAGCGUGGGGAGCAAACAGGAUUAGAUACCCUGGUAGUCCACGCCGUAAACGAUGAGUGCUAAGUGUUAGGGGGUUUCCCGCCCCCUUAGUGCUGCAGCUAACGCAUUAAGCACUCCGCCUGGGGAGUACGGCCGCAAGGCUG